rnacentral:rRNA from 1 species
AUUGAACGCUGGCGGCAUGCUUUACACAUGCAAGUCGAACGGUAACAGGUUAAGCUGACGAGUGGCGAACGGGUGAGUAAUGCAUCGGAACGUGCCCGAUCGUGGGGGAUAACGCAGCGAAAGCUGCGCUAAUACCGCAUACGAUCUGAGGAUGAAAGCGGGGGACCGUAAGGCCUCGCGCGAUCGGAGCGGCCGAUGUCAGAUUAGGUAGUUGGUGGGGUAAAGGCCCACCAAGCCGACGAUCUGUAGCUGGUCUGAGAGGACGACCAGCCACACGGGGACUGAGACACGGCCCAGACUCCUACGGGAGGCAGCAGUGGGGAAUUUUGGACAAUGGGCGAAAGCCUGAUCCAGCAAUGCCGCGUGCAGGAAGAGGGCCUUCGGGUUGUAAACUGCUUUUGUACGGAGCGAAAAGGUCCUUUCUAAUACAAGGGGCUCAUGACGGUACCGUAAGAAUAAGCACCGGCUAACUACGUGCCAGCCGCCGCAGUAAAAC